rnacentral:rRNA from 1 species
AUGAACGCUGGCGGCGUGCCUAAUACAUGCAAGUCGAACGAGUUCUGAUUAUUGAAAGGUGCUUGCAUCUUGAUUUUAAUUUUGAACGAGUGGCGGACGGGUGAGUAACACGUGGGUAACCUGCCCUUAAGUGGGGGAUAACAUUUGGAAACAGAUGCUAAUACCGCAUAAAUCCAAGAACCGCAUGGUUCUUGGCUGAAAGAUGGCGUAAGCUAUCGCUUUUGGAUGGACCCGCGGCGUAUUAGCUAGUUGGUGAGGUAACGGCUCACCAAGGCAAUGAUACGUAGCCGAACUGAGAGGUUGAUCGGCCACAUUGGGGCUGAGACACGGCCCAAACUCCUACGGGAGGCAGCAGUAGGGAAUCUUCCACAAUGGACGCAAGUCUGAUGGAGCAACGCCGCGUGAGUGAAGAAGGCUUUCGGGUCGUAAAACUCUGUUGUUGGAGAAGAAUGGUCGGCAGAGUAACUGUUGUCGGCGUGACGGUAUCCAACCAGAAAGCCACGGCUAACUACGUGCCAGCAGCCGCGGUAAUACGUAGGUGGCAAGCGUUAUCCGGAUUUAUUGGGCGUAAAGCGAGCGCAGGCGGUUUUUUAAGUCUGAUGUGAAAGCCCUCGGCUUAACCGAGGAAGUGCAUCGGAAACUGGGAAACUUGAGUGCAGAAGAGGACAGUGGAACUCCAUGUGUAGCGGUGAAAUGCGUAGAUAUAUGGAAGAACACCAGUGGCGAAGGCGGCUGUCUGGUCUGUAACUGACGCUGAGGCUCGAAAGCAUGGGUAGCGAACAGGAUUAGAUACCCUGGUAGUCCAUGCCGUAAACGAUGAAUGCUAGGUGUUGGAGGGUUUCCGCCCUUCAGUGCCGCAGCUAACGCAUUAAGCAUUCCGCCUGGGGAGUACGACCGCAAGGUUGAAACUCAAAGGAAUUGACGGGGGCCCGCACAAGCGGUGGAGCAUGUGGUUUAAUUCGAAGCAACGCGAAGAACCUUACCAGGUCUUGACAUCUUUUGAUCACCUGAGAGAUCAGGUUUCCCCUUCGGGGGCAAAAUGACAGGUGGUGCAUGGUUGUCGUCAGCUCGUGUCGUGAGAUGUUGGGUUAAGUCCCGCAACGAGCGCAACCCUUAUGACUAGUUGCCAGCAUUUAGUUGGGCACUCUAGUAAGACUGCCGGUGACAAACCGGAGGAAGGUGGGGAUGACGUCAAAUCAUCAUGCCCCUUAUGACCUGGGCUACACACGUGUUACAAUGGAUGGUACAACGAGUUGCGAGACCGCGAGGUCAAGCUAAUCUCUUAAAGCCAUUCUCAGUUCGGACUGUAGGCUGCAACUCGCCUACACGAAGUCGGAAUCGCUAGUAAUCGCGGAUCAGCACGCCGCGGUGAAUACGUUCCCGGGCCUUGUACACACCGCCCGUCACACCAUGAGAGUUUGUAACACCCGAAGCCGGUGGCGUAACCCUUUUAGGGAGCGAGCCGUCUAAGGUGGGACAAAUGAUUAGGGUGAA